rnacentral:lncRNA from 1 species
UUCAGUCUCUUUACAGCCAGUCACUUCCACAACAUUUAGUAGUUCUACUUCUACAGCUCCUUUACACACGGUCACUUCCACAACAUCUACCAGUCCCACUAUUACAGGUGAAUGUGUUGCCGAACUGUAAUGUGGCUUUCAAGAGAAGCUCCUACUAAUACCCGUCUUCAAGAUAAACA